GAUGAACGCUGGCGGCGUGCCUAAUACAUGCAAGUCGAGCGAACAGACGAGGAGCUUGCUCCUCUGACGUUAGCGGCGGACGGGUGAGUAACACGUGGAUAACCUACCUAUAAGACUGGGAUAACUUCGGGAAACCGGAGCUAAUACCGGAUAAUAUAUUGAACCGCAUGGUUCAAUAGUGAAAGACGGUUUUGCUGUCACUUAUAGAUGGAUCCGCGCCGCAUUAGCUAGUUGGUAAGGUAACGGCUUACCAAGGCAACGAUGCGUAGCCGACCUGAGAGGGUGAUCGGCCACACUGGAACUGAGACACGGUCCAGACUCCUACGGGAGGCAGCAGUAGGGAAUCUUCCGCAAUGGGCGCAAGCCUGACGGAGCAACGCCGCGUGAGUGAUGAAGGUCUUCGGAUCGUAAAGCUCUGUUAUUAGGGAAGAACAAAUGUGUAAGUAACUCUGCACGUCUUGACGGUACCUAAUCAGAAAGCCACGGCUAACUACGUG
rnacentral:rRNA from 1 species